CCUACGGGUGGCAGCAGUGGGGAAUAUUGGACAAUGGGGGGAACCCUGAUCCAGCCAUGCCGCGUGUGUGAAGAAGGCCCUCGGGUUGUAAAGCACUUUCAGUGAGGAAGAACGCCUGGUGGUUAAUACCCAUCAGGAAAGACAUCACUCACAGAAGAAGCACCGGCUAACUCCGUGCCAGCAGCCGCGGUAAUACGGAGGGUGUGAGCAUUAAUCGGAAUUACUGGGCGUAAAGCGCGCGUAGGUGGCUUGAUAAGCCGGUUGUGAAAGCCCCGGGCUCAACCUGGGAACGGCAUCCGGAACUGUCAAGCUAGAGUGCAGGAGAGGAAGGUAGAAUUCCCGGUGUAGCGGUGAAAUGCGUAGAGAUCGGGAGGAAUACCAGUGGCGAAGGCGGCCUUCUGGACUGACACUGACACUGAGGUGCGAAAGCGUGGGUAGCAAACAGGAUUAGAUACCCCAGUAGUC
rnacentral:rRNA from 1 species